rnacentral:lncRNA from 1 species
GGAAGGGCCCCUUUUUCCCAUUCGCCUCCUCUAGAGGCAGGAUGUGAGCCACCAGCAAGGAGGGACACCAAUAAGGUGUCAAAUAUUAGAUUGGAGAGAGAAUCCAGCUGAAGGAUCAGAUCGGCUUCCUAGUGCUCAGGCACACAGUGAUUCUGCACUUUCUGAUCCAGCUUCCUGUGGGCUCCCCGGAGGCGGUCUACAAUCCCUGGGCAUUCUCCCAAGGGUGGGGCAAAAGCUAUAAUGAGCUAACACCACUUUACUGAGCUUUUAAAAGAGCAGCAGCAAAGCUGAGACCAACUGGAGAGAGCCUGAGCAAGCAGUGAAGACCAACCAACAACCUCUCCUGAUGUGGCGGUUGGUAACUCCUCCCAAGACCCAGCCUGGCUCAGCUUUAGGGCUGACAAGAGCAUGAGCAGAAAGCUCAGCUUCCUCAGCAGGCUUGACCAGAAAAGUGAAAAUGCAGAGAGCAGAGAUUACAGGUCCCAAGGAAAAGGAGCCUCGAGAAGCUGUGUGCAGCAUACCUAGUGACAGUCCCACAUCAGGUGCCCUGAGUAGGCAGGUGAUACCCAGAACAGUUCCCCAUUCUACCUGAAAGGAUCUAACUGCUAGGCCUGGGUCUGUAAUCCCAGCCACUCCAGAUGCUGAUGCAGAUCGAGUAUUCAAAACUGGGCUGGACUACAAAUCAAUUCAACGCCAGCCUGAACAACUUGGUGAGAUCCUGUCUCAAAAACAAGCAAAACAUAGCACAAAACGUUAUGGAAUCUGUGACUACUCUCCUUUACUAGUUAUACACAGACAGAAGUAAGUCAUCUCCUGUCAGCCUCGUGGGGAUUAAAAGGGAGCCUGAUGUGUGCACUAAAAUCACUGGGAAUAGCAUGCAAACACCUGAUGGCACAAAUUUUCCUCUAUACAUCAUAGGAACCAAAACACAGCCAGGUACUGAAGAAGUUCCAGGUUCUGGAGAAGACUCCUUCUGUACACAUCCACCCAGAUGUUCUCCAUAGGACUCCACCCAGCUUGGUUCCAUCGGCCUGGUCCCCAGGUCCUGAUGAACGGACAGCAUCCUCGUGCAGUUGCUGCUGGAGCUUCAUUAGUGAUUAAUUAUUUUCACAGCCGCUGUUUUAAACACAUAAGGGACAAAAAUUGCUUUCAUUCCAUUGAAAGUGCGAAGAGGACUAAAAGAAUCGGUAGGCUUGGCCUGGUCUUGGAGUCAAACUUUCCCUUUGAUAUGUUUUCACUUAUUUGAAAAAAAAAAAAAAACAUAGUAACAAAAAAAAAGCAUUAACACAAAAUAAGGAUCAAAACCAUGAAUAAAAGUAAAAUGUGAUGACCCGAAGUUAGCAGAGAUCCUGCUGUCCCUGUAGGACGUGGGCAUCUAGAUGGUUCUAAGCCCAGGUCACUAGCCAUGUUUCUGUUUUGGUAGAAUGAGAGUUCAUAAUGGAAAUGAAAAGAUUUAUGAUACAUGCAUUUUAUUUUCAUCUUACUUUUAUAUUCUUGACAUACCCCAGAUUUUAACCUCUCCAGUGAACUUCGUCAUGGUUGUGUCUAAUAGAUUUUGGUUAUUGUUUUUUGACUCCAGCUCUCAGCCACCUGAGAGAUGUUCUCUGAUGGCCAGUGUCAAUCUUUGCAGCUGCAGUAUCUGAGCUCUCUCUUCCCUCUGAGCGACAUUUACCUGUGCAGCCAUUGCAGCAGCCCACUAAGCCACCAAGUAACAGCAUUUAGGAUUACUCUGCUGUUGUUCUUUUCCCCAAGUAGUAGCAAACCUUGAAUGCCAGAUUUGGAAAACAUAUUUGAAGCUAUAAAAGGAAUUUAAGAGGAAUUUUAGAGGAAUUUAAAUGAGAUAGCUACACCCCAAUGGUCCUCUGCAUAAGUCUGCAUAAAUGGAUGUAGAGUUGACUAAGGAGAGUGCCUAUCAGUCAGACAGCCAUGUCAGUGUCUAUGUCUUUGGAAUGGUGUCUUUAAACAACUGACCACUAUGUAUGCUGGUUUCUUACUGACAUCACCUUUUCAAAGGAACCGGUGUCUGUGUUUUAUAACUGAGAAAUGUAGUUUCAUGGGGCGCGACAUAAUUCAUUGACAGUCUGUCCAAAACUUGUACCUUGAAGCUAUGUUUAUGUUUUUACUAAAUAGUUACUGGAUGGAGUUCAAGAUUUUCAAAAUAAAGGUGUUCCCCUUGAUGGAAAGUAUGUUACAUCCAAAGAGAGUCUUUGGACCACCAAAUACCAGGUAAAACCAGUGCAAUAUUUCUAUUUGACAAGUAAAUUACAGCAAUAGGAAAGGUAUUACAUGAAAGAGAAUGUCAAAAAUUUCCUCACGUCACUUUCCAAUUAGAAAUUCACAAUGAUUUUUUUAUAAUUCAUCAUUGUAUUGCUAAUAAUGUUUGGGAGGUGUGGGCUCUAUAGGAUGCAAUACUGGCUGUGCCACUUGUGGCUUACAUAGAAGAAAACUUCCAUACCCUCUUGUGUUCUGUGACUACAGCUUUCAUAUUACAUAAACAACAGUAACAAAAGACAUUAAAAGAAUAAAAACCUGCAAAAUGUACUUAAUAUUGGCAUUUU